ACCUUUGACAUGUACGGAAUCCUUUAGAGAUAGAGGGGUGCUCGAAAGAGAGCCGUAACACAGGUGCUGCAUGGCUGUCGUCAGCUCGUGUCGUGAGAUGUUGGGUUAAGUCCCGCAACGAGCGCAACCCUUUGUCAUUAGUUGCUACGAAAGGGCACUCUAAUGAGACUGCCGGUGACAACCGGAGGAAGGUGGGGAUGACGUCAAGUCCUCAUGGCCCUUAUAGGUGGGGCUACACACGUCAUACAAUGGCUGGUACAAAGGGUUGCCCAACCCGCGAGGGGGAGCCAAUCCCAUAAAGCCAGUCGUAGUCCGGAUCGCAGUCUGCAACUCGACUGCGUGAAGUCGGAAUCGCUAGUAAUCGUGGAUCAGCAUGUCACGGUGAAUACGUUCCCGGGUCUU
rnacentral:rRNA from 1 species